rnacentral:tRNA from 1 species
UAUGGAGUGAUGGGCUCCUCUUAUCA